rnacentral:rRNA from 1 species
GAUGAACGCUGGCGGCGUGCCUAAUACAUGCAAGUCGAGCGAACAGACGAGGAGCUUGCUCCUCUGAUGUUAGCGGCGGACGGGUGAGUAACACGUGGAUAACCUACCUAUAAGACUGGGAUAACUUCGGGAAACCGGAGCUAAUACCGGAUAACAUGUUGAACCGCAUGGUUCAACAGUGAAAGACGGUCUUGCUGUCACUUAUAGAUGGAUCCGCGCCGCAUUAGCUAGUUGGUAAGGUACGGCUUACCAAGGCAACGAUGCGUAGCCGACCUGAGAGGGUGAUCGGCCAGACUGGAACUGAGACACGGUCCAGACUCCUACGGGAGGCAGCAGUAGGGAAUCUUCCGCAAUGGGCGAAAGCCUGACGGAGCAACGCCGCGUGAGUGAAGAAGGUCUUCGGAUCGUAAAACUCUGUUAUUAGGGAAGAACAAAUGUGUAAGUAACUAUGCACGUCUUGACGGUACCUAAUCAGAAAGCCACGGCUAACUACGUG